rnacentral:rRNA from 1 species
CGGAUCAGUGGCGAACGGGUGAGUAACACUGGGCAACCUGCCCCUAGCUCUGGGAUAACCCCGGGAAACCGGGGCUAAUACCGGAUAUGAGAUCGGAAGGCAUCUUCUGAUCUGGAAAGUUUUUCGGCUAGGGAUGGGCCCGCGGCCUAUCAGCUUGUUGGUGAGGUAACGGCCCACCAAGGCGACGACGGGUAGCCGGCCUGAGAGGGCGACCGGCCACACUGGGACUGAGACACGGCCCAG